GGGGGUGUUCUGGCUUCGACGGGGGUAGUGCGAUUGCCUGGUGCAUGCCGAGGGGGCAGCUUUCCUCGUUAAUCCAGCAGCAAAACUCAUAGUUGCCAACGACAACUACUACGGUGACAACCAGGUGGCUCUCGCCGCCUAAGCUGUCCGGCCCCUAAAAAAGGCCAACCGCCCGAACCCACUUGUGCUCGUGCUCGUCGGUGUAGGGUCACUAUCACGGGAUCGCCGAAAGACCCUCCGUCUGGGGGUCUGACGCCAGACUAAUCAGACAUGUCCGCCGGUGCGCUUAGCACGCCGUGCUGUCGGCGGACGAGAUCUAACGGUGAGCUAAGCAUGUAGAUCCGGGGAUUAAACGCCUUCGGACGCGGGUUCGACUCCCGCCACCUCCACCA
rnacentral:tmRNA from 1 species